rnacentral:lncRNA from 1 species
AUUGAGAAGAUAUGUGCAAAACCGUCUCCCCUCGAAAUCAUCACUGACGCCUCAAAUCCCACUCUGGUAUUAAUGAUAGAAAAGAUGUAUCAGCCUCUCUUUUUCAAAAUCAGGCGGCGUGCCAUCUUUUUUCAAUGAUUAGAAAUUGGUGUGGAGUGGCGGGCGAUGAUUUAGUGAUCCAGCACAUGCCAUACCAAGUGUCCUAUCACAGUCAAACCCAUAAGAGUCCGAUUGUUACCGGCAACUUCACAAUAACAAAGAGGCCCGCUUUGGCACACGACUUCGAAAUCUCGAGAGUGAUCUACUUUUCAGAACAAAUACUUCGAACUGGAAAAUGGGAGGCAAGUGUUGAACCAUAUUUUGUCCAUCCCUUUCAUAUGGCAAAUUCUGAAGGCAUGGUAUCAUGAUAUGGCAGCUCGAGACAUAUGAUCGAAACAACAUCACAUGACCCAUCCCUUUUAUAUGGCAAAUUCUGAAGAUGUGGUAUCAUGAUAUGGCAACUCGAGACAUAUGAUCGAAACAACAUCACACGACCUAGACUACGCCACAGACAUC